rnacentral:rRNA from 1 species
CACGGGGGGUGCAAGCGUUGUUCGGAUUCAUUGGGCGUAAAGGGCUCGUAGGUGGCUUUGUAAGUCGGAGGUGAAAGACCACGGCUCAACCGUGGAAACGCCUUCGAAACUGUGAAGCUUGAGGCUGGGAGAGGAAAUCGGAAUUCCUGGUGUAGCGGUGAAAUGCGUAGAUAUCAGGAGGAACACCGGUGGCGAAGGCGGAUUUCUGGACCAGUUCUGACACUGAUGAGCGAAAGCCAGGGGAGCAAACAGG